GAUGAAGAACGCAGCGAAAUGCGAUAAGUAAUGUGAAUUGCAGAAUUCAGUGAAUCAUCGAAUCUUUGAACGCACAUUGCGCCCGCCAGUAUUCUGGCGGGCAUGCCUGUUCGAGCGUCAUUUCAACCAUCAGGCCCCCGGCUUGUGUUGGGGACCUGCGGCUGCCGCAGGCCCUGAAAACCAGUGGCGGGCUCGCUAGUCACUCCGAGCGUAGUAAUACAUCUCGCUCAGGGCGUGCUGCGGGUUCCGGCCGUUAAAAAGCCUUAUUUACCCAAGGUUGACCUCGGAUCAGGUAGGAAGACCCGCUGAACUUAAGCAUAUCAAUAAGCGGAGGA
rnacentral:misc_RNA from 1 species